UACGAAGGGGGCUAGCGUUGUUCGGAAUUACUGGGCGUAAAGCGCGCGUAGGCGGUGAUCUUUGUCAGAGGUGAAAUCCCGGGGCUCAACUCCGGAAUUGCCUUUGAAACGGGAUCGCUUGUGUCCGAGAGAGGAUGGCGGAAUUCCUAGUGUAGAGGUGAAAUUCGUAGAUAUUAGGAAGAACACCGGUGGCGAAGGCGGCCAUCUGGCUCGGUACUGACGCUCAGGCGCGAAAGCGUGGGGAGCAAACAGG
rnacentral:rRNA from 1 species